GUGCCAGCAGCCGCGGUAAGACGAACCGUCCAAACGUUAUUCGGAAUCACUGGGCUUAAAGGGUGCGUAGGCGGCGCGGGAAGUUGGGUGUGAAAGCCCUCGGCUUAACCGAGGAACUGCGCCCAAAACUGCCGUGCUUGAGGGAGAUAUAGGUGAGCGGAACUUAGGGUGGAGCGGUGAAAUGCGUUGAGAUCCUAAGGAACACCAGUAGCGAAAGCGGCUCACUGGGUCUCUUCUGACGCUGAUGCACGAAAGCUAGGGGAGCGAAGAGGAUUAGAAACCCCAGUAGUCC
rnacentral:rRNA from 1 species